AUCUCAUGAGUCCAGGGGACUCCGUUCUCUCUCUCUUGAGUCCAGGAGUCGCGACAGCAAAGUGGCUGUGACUUCGUACGACGUGUUGUUGGCAGUGGCAAGAUCCAGCAGAGGAGGGCUAAGACCGUAAGACUGGAGAGCCGAAGCCGAUCGCCUCUAAUGUUGAUGCCUUCGAGCUUUUCCAGGAGCUUUUCUCCAACCGAGAAUUCAGGUUGAUUGAUUCAUAUGGUUAUAUUAUUGGAGUUAACACAGCAACUUUCACUCGCAAAGGUAAAGCAUGCUCUUUAAUUUGUAUUAUCAAAUGUUCCUCGAAUGAGCUCUAUACUAGUUGGCAGCACCACACUUGGAAGAGAUUUUGAAUCCCAAGUUCUAUUAGCCUAUUCAGAAGGCUGGAACUUGGAAGCUAACAAAGUUUUCAACCAGCAAAACAUAUCCAAACUAUAAAACGUAGUCAAAGCUUCAAACCUUUUCAUGAAAACACUGGAAGCUAACUUAGUUAAGGCUUUUAAAUGCUUUUAUUCUCUCUCUAUAUUUUGCAGGGACAUGAGCAUCAUCUGGUGUUAACUUUGCAAUACCAAUUGACACUAUUAUGCGUACUGUACCAUACCUUAUUGUAUAUGGAAUACCGUACCGUGACAGGUUGUUUGUUCAUAGGUUUUGUCAUGUAGUUUUUGGACUUACUUUCUACAUGAAAAGCAUAGCACCUUGGGAGGUAUGAAAUUUCUACUUCAUGUUUCUUAUAGUUCAAUUUAUGUCUGCAAGUUUUGCGUACUAUAGUUCAGUAUAAUGCUUUAAUCACCUUCAUUAUGAAAAAGAAACUACAAUGCAGAAAAACAGAAACUGCAUACCUCUUCCUGAUAUAUAAAUUGUUUUGUUAUGUAUAACUCUAGAGCAUGAGGGAUUUGGUACAAAUGUUGCGCGAAUCGGUGUUGAAAUGAAUUUGUUUUUUAUUUUUUAAAAAUCGUUGAUUGUUUAUAUAAAUAUUGUGUAACUGAAAGAAUAUCACAAAAAUAAGUUUGGUGUGGUGGUUUAUGAGUGAGGCUUCCUCCUUUGAGGGUCAAGGGUCAAUGUUCAAGUCCCUUCAAUGUCACAAAAUCUUCUAUUUUUUCAGGGUGACUAAAGGACAACAGAGUUGGUUCCCGGCUGGCUGGUAAUAGGCGGGAAGGGCUGGCAGGCAGCUGACCGGCGGCGGCUGACUGACGGUGGUGGCUGGCCGGGAGGGGGAUUGUUGGUGGUGGACAUGUGGCAUAGUGUGUUUGCCUUAGAAGGAGUGGCAUUGUGUGUAAUUUUAAUAUACAUAUAUACAUGUAUACACACACAUAUAUAUAUAUUAUGUAUAUAUUAUGUAUGUAUAUAUAUACAUAUGCAAAAAGUUUUGAGGGCCCCCUUGAUCCGAGGCCCUGAACAAUCGCCCUCGGAGCCUAGGCCUAAGGCCAGACCUGAUGAGUUAUUUGGAAUCUAUUUUGUUUUCUUCAUUUCUUUUUUAUUCA